rnacentral:rRNA from 1 species
GACGAACGCUGGCGGCGUGCUUAACACAUGCAAGUCGAGCGGUAAGGCCCUUUCGGGGUACACGAGCGGCGAACGGGUGAGUAACACGUGGGUGACCUGCCCUUACGCUCUGGGAGUAAGCCUGGGAAACUGGGUCUAAUACCGGAUAUGACUCCAUGACGCAUGUUGUGGGGUGGAAAGCCUUGUGCGGCUAGGGAUGGGGCCUGCGGCCUAUCAGCUUGUUGGU